AUUGAACGCUGGCGGCAUGCCUUACACAUGCAAGUCGAACGGCAGCGCGGGGCAACCUGGCGGCGAGUGGCGAACGGGUGAGUAACAUAUCGGAACAUACCCUAGAGUGGGGGAUAACGUAGCGAAAGUUACGCUAAUACCGCAUACGCACUAAGGUGGAAAGUGGGGGAUCUUCGGACCUCAUGCUCAUGGAGUGGCCGAUAUCUGAUUAGCUAGUUGGUGAGGUAAAGGCUCACCAAGGCGACGAUCAGUAGCUGGUUUGAGAGAACGACCAGCCACACUGGAACUGAGACACGGUCCAGACUCCUACGGGAGGCAGCAGUGGGGAAUAUUGGACAAGUCGGGGGGAACCCGUGAUCCAGCAAUGCCGCGUGUGUGAAGAAGGCCUGGAGGGUUGUAAAGCUACUUCAGUGGGAGGGAGGGUUGAUAGGUUAGAGCUAAUUAAC
rnacentral:rRNA from 1 species